rnacentral:lncRNA from 1 species
UGUGAAUAUUAGUAAUAAAAGUCUCGUUUGAGGUUAAUUGAGUGAUCAUCAAUUUAGGUUGAAAAAGAAUAAACUGGAUAACAUGCUGUGCGAUUUUUCAUGCCCUAACCAUACGAUGACAAUUUUCUGAUUUUAAUCUAAGAAUAAAGAUGAAUUACAAUCGUUCUCUUUAUCCUGAUAUUGUAACAGACAAAAGUUUAGCUAAGUAUGCGGCUCUACAUUUUUUGUUCCAAUCAAAGACUGUAACACACCCAAGAAAAAGACUCCAUUUCAGCAUUAGAUCUAUGCAUAUAAAUUUCAUUUUCCAAUAGUUACCGAUAGAAAAAUUUCUUUUAACUAUUCUUCGUGGAGUUCCAAUGUGAAUUAUUAUGCGAAUAGAAUCCAACUGGUGUUACAACUAAUAAGCAAGACAUGAAUCUGGUAAAAGGUUAUUAAUCAUUUUACUGGAAGAGGGAGAGCACUUUUUUCAACAACGAUAAAAAGAAGCCGACGACACUGAAAUCAUGAAAGACUUUAGAAGACACCGUAUUCUUUUUAUUGACACUGGGAAGUAACCAUGUGCAUUAAUAUUCUAUCAAAA